rnacentral:tRNA from 1 species
GGAGAGGUGGCUGAGCGGUUGAAAGCAGCAGACUUGAAAUCUGCCGUACCCGUCAGGGUACCGGGAGUUCGAAUCUCCCCCUCUCCG